rnacentral:lncRNA from 1 species
GGAUUUUGGCUAGCCAGAGAAGGAGCCUGCUGUAGGAACUGAUACACUGUUUCCAGAAUAGCUCUAAAAACCUAGAGCCUCUGGAGUACUGUCUCUGCUGAAUCCAUCAUUUGUUAAAAUGUGCUUCUCAGGUGAGUUCAGAUGCUCUUAUCCUCACUUUUUUGUUAGAAAGAACCAUUGACAUGUUCCUCAAUAAUUUUGGCAUACGACUUGAAACAUCCCCUGUUAGAACCAGAGUGAUCUGGAAUAGGUAAUGCAUUUCC